rnacentral:rRNA from 1 species
CAGCCGCCGCGGUAAUACGGAGGGUGCAAGCGUUAAUCGGAAUUACUGGGCGUAAAGCGCACGCAGGCGGUCUGUCAAGUCAGAUGUGAAAUCCCCGGGCUUAACCUGGGAACUGCAUUUGAAACUGGCAGGCUAGAGUCUUGUAGAGGGGGGUAGAAUUCCAGGUGUAGCGGUGAAAUGCGUAGAGAUCUGGAGGAAUACCGGUGGCGAAGGCGGCCCCCUGGACAAAGACUGACGCUCAGGUGCGAAAGCGUGGGGAGCAAACAGGAUUAGAGACCCGUGUAGUCCCUGUCUCUUAUAC